rnacentral:misc_RNA from 1 species
GUAGGUGAACCUGCGGAAGGAUCAUUACAGAGUUCAUGCCUUAACAGGUAGAUCUCCCACCCUUGAAUAUAUUACCUUUGUUGCUUUGGCGGGCCGCUUCGUCCACUGGCUUAGGCUAGUGAGUGCCCGCCAGAGGAUCCAAAAUUAUGAAUUACAGUGUCGUCUGAGUACUAUAUAAUAGUUAAAACUUUCAACAACGGAUCUCUUGGUUCUG